rnacentral:rRNA from 1 species
GACGUAGGUGGCGAACGUUAUCCGGAAUUAUUGGGCGUAAAGGGUGCGUAGGCGGCGGAGUAAGUUGGGUGUGAAAUCCCGGGGCUCAACCUCGGAAUGGCAUUCAAUACUGCUUCGCUAGAGUACUGGAGAGGAGGCUGGAAUUUACGGUGUAGCAGUGAAAUGCGUAGAUAUCGUAAGGAAGGCCGGUGGCGAAAGCGAGCCUCUGGACAGUUACUGACGCUGAUGCACGAAGGCCAGGGGAGCAAACGGG